rnacentral:pre_miRNA from 1 species
UGGACAGAUUAUUGUAUUCAACUGUAUUCACGACGUAAAAUAGGGGAUUACACUGUUUUUAAACGAAAAGUGAAUCAAUUAACAUAAUAGACUCCU